GACGAACGCUGGCGGCGUGCCUAAUACAUGCAAGUAGAACGCUGAAGCGAGGAGCUUGCUCUUCUUGGGUGAGUUGCGAACGGGUGAGUAACGCGUAGGUAACCUGCCUUGUAGCGGUGGGUAACUAUUGGAAACGAUAGCUAAUACCGCAUAACAUCGGCUGACACAUGUCUUUUAUUUGAAAGGGGCAAUUGCUCCACUAUAAGCUGGACCUGCGUUGUAUUAGCUAGUAGGUGAGGUAAUGGCUCACCUAGGCGAGGAUACAUAGCCGACCGGAGAGGGUGAUCGGCCACACUGGGACUGAGACACGGCCCAGACGCCUACGGGAGGCAGCAGGAGGGAAUCGUCGGCAAUGGGGGCAACCCAGACCGAGCAACGCCGCGUGAGUGAAGAAGGAUUUCGGAUCGUAAAGGUCUGUUGUAAGUCAAGAACGGGUGUGAGGGUGGAAAGUUCACACUGUGACGGUAGCUUACCAGAAAGGGACGGCUAACUACGUG
rnacentral:rRNA from 1 species